GACGAACGCUGGCGGCGUGCUUAACACAUGCAAGUCGAGCGAUGAAACUUCUUCGGAAGUGGAUUAGCGGCGGACGGGUGAGUAACACGUGGGCAACCUGCCUCAUAGUGGGGAAUAGCCUCUCGAAAGGGAGAUUAAUACCGCAUAAGAUUGUAGUUCCGCAUGGAACAGCAAUUAAAGGAUUUAUUCGCUAUGAGAUGGGCCCGCGGCGCAUUAGCUAGUUGGUGAGGUAACGGCUCACCAAGGCGACGAUGCGUAGCCGACCUGAGAGGGUGACCGGCCACAUUGGGACUGAGACACGGCCCAGACUCCUACGGGAGGCAGCAGUGGGGAAUAUUGCACAAUGGGGGAAACCCUGAUGCAGCAACGCCGCGUGAGUGAUGACGGUCUUCGGAUUGUAAAGCUCUGUCUUUAGGGACGAUAAUGACGGUACCUAAGGAGGAAGCCACGGCUAACUACGUGCCAGCCGCCGCCGUAACAC
rnacentral:rRNA from 1 species